ACCCUGCCGGAGCAGUAACAAAUCUUUCACCCAAUACCCAAUGUCGAGUCGGAGCGCGAGAGGCAGAACUCAAUGCCCGUUCGCGACCGUUUAUCCUCGUCGGUUGAGUGAUAGUGGUGUGUAGUUAUUAUAAGUGUUGAGGUUGAGCUCAGGAGAAGGAAUAGAAUAGAAACGAGAGUGUUAUUUGGUGGUGACCCGGGUGGUGCCCGAACCUUUUUCAGAACAGCCAGGGCACUUACCACUGGCACGCUCUUUUUUAUUUAAAAACUAAAACUAUAAUUAUUAAUAAAUUUAUCUACAGAGCUGGAGAUCUAUCUACAGAGUCGGAGUUUAAACUCAAGUCAGAGUCAGAAUCAGGAACAGAACAGAGUGAGUGGAUAUAACAACAGCAAGUGUAGUCUCGCGCGUCAAUUGUCGUCGAAGUAGUCGAUCCUGCUUGCAGCCGUCGUCGUGUGAGAGAGCCAAGAGGAUAUAGAUAUAUAGAUACCUUCAUAUAUACUACAUAAUAUUAUAGAUAUAUAUCUAUAUAUACAUAUAUGUGCAAGGAGGGCCGCUGUACAAUUGUGAUUGUGGAACAAACGGACACAAGGAAAAGGAAGACCGCUUUUCCAAAGUGUCGGGUCAAUGUACGAGGAUUGUUAGUACAGGACGCCGUGAAUCCUGAUUAUUAGUGAGCAGUGUAAUAAUAAGUCGAUCCAUAAAAAGUAUAUCGCUCCCGCGAUUAUUAAACGCCAACGAUGACCCAUAAUGGUGGUCUUCUCGGGGUGCUCCCUGCUUCACGAAGACAGAGCCACGUUUGGGGAAGUGUUGCCCAGUGACCACUCAGGAGAAUUUUUCAGAAGGUUGUGGACCAGUGAUUCAAGAUGCAGAAGAGUGACAGUAGAACGGGUAGAGGUGAAAAGGAGCUUCCUAAUCGCGACCGUGAUAGGGAGCAGGAAGCUGCCAAGAGGACUUCUAGAGGCAGCGGUAACGCGACUAGAUCUACCAUGCACACCUCUAGGCAAAGUGUUACUUCCACCUCUGGAGUGUUGAUGGUAGGACCUAACUUCAGAGUUGGAAAGAAAAUUGGCUGUGGUAAUUUUGGAGAGCUUAGACUCGGAAAAAACCUCUAUAAUAAUGAACACGUAGCUAUUAAAAUGGAACCAAUGAAGUCAAAGGCGCCACAGCUUCAUUUAGAAUAUAGGUUUUACAAAUUAUUAGGUACACAUGUUCAUAACACGCAUAUAGAAGGUGUACCGGAGGUGUACUACUUCGGUCCAUGCGGUAAAUAUAACGCACUGGUAAUGGAGCUCCUUGGACCGAGUUUGGAAGAUUUGUUCGACUUAUGCGGGCGAAGAUUCACACUAAAAACAGUUCUCAGCAUAGCAACACAACUGCUCCAUAGGAUAGAGUAUGUACACAGUCGACAUCUGAUUUAUCGUGAUGUCAAGCCGGAAAAUUUCCUUAUUGGACGUAGUACGACUAAACGAGAGAAAAUAAUUCAUAUCAUCGAUUUUGGAUUGGCCAAAGAAUACAUAGAUUUGGAUACUAACAAACAUAUACCUUACCGGGAACACAAGAGUCUUACCGGUACUGCGCGUUAUAUGAGUAUCAACACUCAUCUUGGAAAAGAGCAAAGUAGGAGAGACGACUUAGAAGCACUCGGUCACAUGUUUAUGUACUUCCUUCGAGGCAGCUUGCCCUGGCAAGGACUGAAAGCAGACACGCUGAAGGAGCGCUAUCAAAAGAUCGGUGACACGAAGCGAGCGACACCAAUAGAGGUCCUUUGUGAUGGGCAUCCCGAGGAAAUGGCCACUUAUUUACGUUACGUACGGAGAUUAGACUUUUUCGAGACACCUGAUUACGAGUACUUGAGGAAACUCUUCCAGGAUCUUUUCGAGCGGCGAGGAUUCGUCCAUGACGGCGAAUUUGAUUGGACGGGCAAGACUAUGCCUCCUAACUUUCAACAGCUUCGGCAGUUGAGAUUUGCUGCACCAUCUUGGGUUGGGAAAACAAAAUCGGACAAGUCAACACCAGUUGGAUCGAUGCAAACAGGACAUGAAAUAGUUGUGUCGCCCAAUCGAGAUCGGCAUCCUACCACUUACAAGAGUCAACUAACAAGACACAUUUCCAACAAUGUCCCGCUUGUUCCUCCAGGACGUGGCAGGUGGAGGGGUGGGAGGAGGGGGCGGUAGAGGGGUGGGAACCACAUGGCCUGAUACAGUCAAACAAACGGGGGCUGGUGGUACAUUGACGCCUGCCGACAGACAUGGUUCAGUACAGGUGGUAUCCUCGACAAACGGAGAACUGGCAAAU
rnacentral:misc_RNA from 1 species